rnacentral:tRNA from 1 species
GCGGGUAUGGCGGAAUUGGUAGACGCGUUAGCCUUAGGAGCUAGUGCCGCAAGGCGUGGGGGUUCGACUCCCUUUACCCGCA